rnacentral:tRNA from 1 species
GCCGUAAGUGCAUGAUUUUAAAAGUCCUUAAAAAGUCUUUAAAAUCCCUCGGCUGUAAGGCUGUGCGGGUUCAAGUCCCGCCCCGGGCACCA